rnacentral:tRNA from 1 species
ACCUGUUUGAUAUAAGUCCAUUAAAGUGUUUUCUAUAACACUAACAACAGGUA